GCCGGAGGCGGAGCGAAAGCGAGUCUGAAUAGGGCGCUGAGUCGAUGGGGCUAGACGCGAAACCCGUGUGAUCUACCCAUGGCCAGGGUGAAGUGGGGGUAAAACUCCAUGGAAGCCCGAACCCGUCAACGUUGAAAAGUUGUGGGAUGAGCUGUGGGGAGGGGUCAAAGUCCAAUCAAACCGGGAGAUAGCUCGUUCUCUCCGAAAUAACUUUAGGGUUAGCCUCAGACAGCAAGAACUGGGGGUAGAGCUACUGGAUGAGUGGUGGGCCCUACCCAGGGUACCCCACUCAACCAAACUCCGAAUACCAGUUCCCAAGGUCUGGGAGAUAGACCGCGAGUGACAAUAUCCGUGGUCAAAAGGAGAAGAAUCCUGACCGCCGGCUAAGGCCCCGAAUCGUUGCUAAGUUAGGAAGGAAGUCGGAUUGCGAUGACAACCAGCAUGUUGGCUUAGAAGCAGCCAUCAUUUAAAGAGUGCGUAACAGCUCACUGGUCGAGGAAUCCGGCGCCGAGAAUGAUUGGGGAUAAGCAGCGAGCCGAAGCCGCGGACGCGAAAGCGUGGUAGGAGAGCGUUCCUGGGGCGUUGAAGCAGAGCCGAGAGGCCAUGUGGAGCGCCAGGAAGUGCGUAUGCGGGCUUGAGUAACGAUAAAGCAGGUGAGAAUCCUGCUCGCCGUAAGCCCAAGGUUUCCUGGGGAAGGUAAAUCCGCCCAGGGUUAGUCGGGACCUAAGGCGAGGCCGAAAGGCGUAGUCGAUGGACAGCCGGUUAAUAUUCCGGCACCCUU
rnacentral:rRNA from 1 species